rnacentral:misc_RNA from 1 species
CAGAGUAGCGGUGCCCUCUGGGCGCCUACUCCCACCCUUUGUGAACUUGCCUCUGUUGCUUUGGCGGGCCGGGUGCCCCAAGCGCCGCCGGCUUCGGCUGGAGAGCGCCCGCCAGAGGACCAUUUAAACACUGCUCACCGUGACAUCUGAGUAACAAAACAAAUGAAUCA